UAAAGAUUCAUCGCUGAUAGAUAGGCAUGCGUUCCAUUAGGCAGUUGGCGGGGUAACGGCCCACCAAACCGACGAUGGAUAGGGGUUCUGAGAGGAAGGUCCCCCACAUUGGUACUGAGACACGGACCAAACUCCUACGGGAGGCAGCAGUGAGGAAUAUUGGUCAAUGGGCGUAAGCCUGAACCAGCCAAGUCGCGUGAGGGAUGAAGGUUCUAUGGAUCGUAAACCUCUUUUAUAAGGGAAUAAAGUGUGGGACGUGUCCUGUUUUGUAUGUACCUUAUGAAUAAGGAUCGGCUAACUCCGUGCCAGCAGCCGCGGUAAUACGGAGGAUCCGAGCGUUAUCCGGAUUUAUUGGGUUUAAAGGGUGCGUAGGCGGCCUUUUAAGUCAGCGGUGAAAGUCUGUGGCUCAACCAUAGAAUUGCCGUUGAAACUGGGAGGCUUGAGUAUGUUUGAGGCAGGCGGAAUGCGUGGUGUAGCGGUGAAAUGCUUAGAUAUCACGCAGAACCCCGAUUGCGAAGGCAGCCUGCCAAGCCAUGACUGACGCUGAUGCACGAAAGCGUGGGGAUCAAACAGGAUUAGAUACCCUGGUAGUCCACGCAGUAAACGAUGAUCACUAGCUGUUUGCGAUACAGUGUAAGC
rnacentral:rRNA from 1 species